GGACCUGACUGCUAUCGGAUUGAUACUAAGCCAUGCUAGUCUUUGUAGUAAUACAAGGCAUACGGCUCAGUAACGCGUAGUCAACCUACCCUAUGGACGGGAAUAAUCUCGGGAAACUGAGCAUAAUACCCGGUAGACCACUUCUCCUGGAAUGGUUAGUGGUUAAAAUGAUUCGUCGCCAUAGGAUGGGACUGCGGCCUAUCAGCUUGUUGGUGAGGUAAUGGCCCACCAAGGCGAUUACAGGUACGGGCUCUGAGAGGAGAAGCCCGGAGAUGGGUACUGAGACAAGGACCCAGGCCCUAUGGGGCGCAGCAGGCGAGAAAACUUUGCAAUGUGCGAAAGCACGACAAGGUUAAUCCGAGUGAUUUCUGCUAAAGAAACCUUUUGUCAGUCCUAGAAACACUGAUGAAUAAGGGGUGGGCAAGUUCUGGUGU
rnacentral:rRNA from 1 species